rnacentral:sRNA from 1 species
GAUUUAAUGGUCUUGGCAUAGGUCUCCAAGCUGGCUGGUGUCUUGGUCAAGCAUGGCAUCAAGAAAGGUGACACUGUGGUUAUCUACAUGCCCAUGAUCCCACAGGCAAUGUAUACCAUGUUGGCAUGUGCAAGGAUAGGUGCCAUCCACAGUCUCAUAUUUGGAGGAUUUGCUUCCAAAGAACUAAGUAGUCGCAUUGAUCAUGUAAAGCCCAAGGUGGUUGUUACAGCAUCAUUUGGCAUUGAACCUGGAAGGAGGGUAGAGUACGUACCACUUGUAGAAGAAGCGCUAAAAAUAGGACAACACAAACCAGACAAAAUUCUCAUUUAUAAUCGUCCAAAUAUGGAGGCGGUUCCUUUGGCUCCCGGUCGUGACCUUGAUUGGGAUGAAGAGAUGGCAAAAGCCCAGUCACAUGACUGUGUUCCUGUUCUUUCAGAACACCCAUUGUACAUUCUUUACACAUCUGGCACAACGGGGUUACCUAAGGUACUCACUCUCUUAGAGAUAACUAUCUAUAGCAGUAGAUUUACUUUGCACCAAGAAUGUUUGAUCACUGACUGGAAAUGUUUGCAGACUUUACUUUGAAGUUUAGAGAGUUACUUCAUUUGCUUUUAUUUUUUUUUCCUGUGCCCAGUCUGGAGUGCAGUGGCGUGAUCUCACCUGACACAGUUACUCCAUAUCUUAAAGAGAUUUUGUGUUUAGUGCUAAAUAGAAAAACAUUUAUUAUUUAACAUCAAAUAU